rnacentral:misc_RNA from 1 species
GCAAACUUGGUCAUUUAGAGGAAGUAAAAGUCGUAACAAGGUUUCCGUAGGUGAACCUGCGGAAGGAUCAUUACAGAGUACCGGCGCCUCCGGGCGCCUACUCCCACCCUUUUGCGAACCCGUCCUCUGUUGCUUUGGCGGGCCAGGCGCCCACCGCGCCGCCGGCCGUCUCGGCUGGAGAGCGCCCGCCAGAGGUCCGACAAACUCGUGCUCACCGUGUCACGUCUGAGUUUUUUAAAAAGAAUAGAAUCAAAACUUUCAACAACGGAUCUCUUGGUUCUGGCAUCGAUGAAGAACGCAGC